UUCGGCUGUGGUCCACAUGAGCUUCUGACGUUCGCCACAAAUGAAGACAAAUUUGCCCAGCAGACAUAACAUUCGCUGAUUUGAUCGAAGAAAAAAAGCAAAACAAGAACAACAUAUUGACUUCUGACGCGAGGGGCUAGGGAGCAGAUCCAGACUCACUCAGUUCCCACCAUGAGUAAACAGUGAGUCCUUCUCUCACAGUGCCUGGUACAGCACUGGUUCUGAAAGAAUUAGCACCAUUUGACUGUUUGAUGACCUGAUAACACCACCGGUCAAUAACACAAACCGUGGUCAUGCCACAGAAACUAGGCUCACCUCUAUUGUGUGUAUGUUUUCAAACAUGUGGAGCAUGUUUAAGUUCAUGGCUCUUACAGUAAGACCAACACCAGGAUUGUGUGCUGUGUGUGUGUAUAUGGAGGUCAAGAGGACAAGAAGAAUUUGUACAGGAGAAACAGUGCCAUAUCAUGGUGCUCAUGUUUCUUCAGACCUCACUCCAUUAGAGCAGAAGGAGAUCUUAUCAUAACUAAAGUGCACAGCUUUGUUUGUCAGACCAAAAAAUGGAAAGAAAACUGUCUGAGACAACAUUUUGCUUGUACACUGAAAAUGGUUACCUGAAAAAAAAAGAAAUUAACUGGUUUUAUUCAAGAACAAAAUAUUAUUAACAUUGUUGAAUAAACCCAAAUACAAAACAAAACCAACAAAAAUCAUUUUAUGAGUUAAAUCAGCACUCUACAGCUUGUGCCCUUUGAAUUCCACUGUUGGCUUGGCUUGCAGACCAAAGGUAAAGAGGUACACAGAACUGCUGCUCACUACAAGCAGGCCAAUUGUUCCUAGAGAUGGUGUUUGAAGUGAGCAAGCAAACAACGCAUCCACGCAGCGCGGCUGACACAGAAGAGCGUACAUCAUCUGCCGACUGCUCAGAAUUGCCAAAAUGGCACUACGCUGAUUUGGAGAGACACAGAGGAGAGGAAUUGUUGAAGG
ensembl:lncRNA